UGUCAGACCAUCUGCAGCUGUUGUCGGUCAACCAUUGAUCUGACCUCUGAGAGGAUUCUUCCAUGCUGGCAAAAUCUCCCAUGGGAAGUUCUAGAGAAAAUUCAAGGAAGAUCUACAGUUUUGACAGUUUUGCAGUGCUUGCUUCUGGCUUAUUCAGCUUGUUCUUCCCAGUUCCAGCCAGUACCUGAAACACACCAGCAGUUCCUGGAACUGCGUGACCUCCAGGAAGGCUCAGCAUGGACCAAUACACAGAGCACAGACUAAAACAUAUGUACAGAUGAACCCUGUUUGGUUUUUUGGGGGUGUUUUGUGGGUUUGUUUGUUUUUGGUUUGUUUUUAAUGAAGACUCCAAGAUGAGGCAAUGGCCUGAGGAAACUGCAGAAGGAUAAAGCAGAUCUAGUGGAUCACCCUGGGGACAUCAGCUGAAUCAACAUUAGCUAAAUUUACUAGACUUUCUUCCACAUCUUGAUUUCAGUCUGCUC